AUGUUUAAUUAAACAAUGUUUGUAAUUUGGAUAAAGAUUUGUCCUGAUUUACAUAAACUUCAGCUUUGAUUUCCUCGGCUUAGACAAUGUUUAUUCUUAAAAUUACUUCGCCAAUGAACUCAUAAGAUGGAUCGGUUGCACAUGCAUGUUUUAACUAGUACUUAUCAAUCCCUUGCGGAGAUUGCCCUACAUGGAACUACAUUGGUGAAACGACGUUCAUUCGAAACAAGAAAGAAAGAACAUAUUCGGAAUCGUUAACAAUGAUGGGGCUAUCAUCUUCUUUUCCCGCCAGCCGCCUAAUAUUUCUAUGCUGAUAGCCUGAUAUUAAUCUGAUUUAUUUCAUUUUCAGGUUACUUUUAAAAAGAAAAAAGAAUAAACUUGAAAAUGGUAAAAGCCACUAAAGUAAAGUAAUUAUACUAUAGUAAAAGGAAUAUAAAUAGGAAAUUAACUAUUUGUUGUACACUGUAUGUGCAUGAGGGAAGUAGAAAAAUAUAUCAUUCUUGAUCAUAUUUUCCGUGUGAUAUUAUUGGUUAUAUUUUCAUUUGCUCAGGUACAAAUAUAUUCAUUUGUUUUGGUGAAUCGUGCAGUCUGGCUAGCUGGCGCGGAUAUCGUAGGAUUUUCCCGUAUUACCAUGAUAUAGGCAGCCCAAUGGCUAAGCGUGUCAAAUAUUUGAC